rnacentral:rRNA from 1 species
UGGGGAAUAUUGGACAAUGGGCGCAAGCCUGAUCCAGCCAUGCCGCGUGAGUGAUGAAGGCCUUAGGGUUGUAAAGCUCUUUCGCCGACGAAGAUAAUGACGGUAGUCGGAGAAGAAGCCCCGGCUAACUUCGUGCCAGCAGCCGCGGUAAUACGAAGGGGGCGUANCGUUGUUCGGAAANCACUGGGCGUAAAGCGCACGUAGGCGGAUUGUUAAGUCAGGGGUGAAAGCCUGGAGCUCAACUCCAGAACUGCCCUUGAUACUGGCAAUCUCGAGUCCGGAAGAGGUAAGUGGAACUGCGAGUGUAGAGGUGAAAUUCGUAGAUAUUCGCAAGAACACCAGUGGCGAAGGCGGCUUACUGGUCCGGUACUGACGCUGAGGUGCGAAAGCGUGGGGAGCAAAACAGGAUUAGAUACCCUGGUAGUCCACGCCGUAAACGAUGGAGGCUAGCCGUUGGCGAGCAUGCUCGUCAGUGGCGCAGCUAACGCAUUAAGCCUCCCGCCUGGGGGAGUACGGUCGCAAGAUU